UACGAAGGGGGCUAGCAUUGCUCGGAAUCACUGGGCGUAAAGCGCACGUAGGCGGGUCUUUAAGGCAGGGGUGAAAUCCUGGAGCUCAACUCCAGAACUGCCUUUGAUACUGAGGAUCUCGAGUCCGGGAGAGGUGAGUGGAACUCCGAGUGUAGAGGUGAAAUUCGUAGAUAUUCGGAAGAACACCAGUGGCGAAGGCGGCUCACUGGCCCGGUACUGACGCUGAGGUGCGAAAGCGUGGGGAGCAAACAGG
rnacentral:rRNA from 1 species